rnacentral:rRNA from 1 species
UACGAAGGGGCUAGCGUUGUUCGGAAUCACUGGGCGUAAAGCGCACGCAGGCGGAUCGUUAAGUCAGGGGUGAAAUCCCGAGGCUCAACCUCGGAACUGCCUUUGAUACUGGCGAUCUUCGAGUCCGGGAGAGGUGAGUGGAACUCCGAGUGUAGAGGUGAAAUUCGUAGAUAUUCGGAAGAACACCAGUGGCGAAGGCGGCUCACUGGCCCGGUACUGACGCUCAUAGUGCGGAAACGUGGGAGCAACAGG